rnacentral:misc_RNA from 1 species
AAAAGGUCUUCAGAACCUCAUUAUAAGAAUCAAAAUAUACCAAGUGAUUUACACAAUGCCAAAGAGAGAUUUCAGCACAGGCAACAAAAUCCAUUAUUUUGAUGCAUAGCAAAUUCCAAAGGCAAACAAUUCAACAAGGAUUUGUGUCUGAAAAGAAACAUUACCAAUGGUCAUUCGAUGUGAGAUAUAUCUAUCUAAGCUUCUGGUUCUCCACCAAGCUCCACUCUUAGAUUGUCAUAAGGAUACACUUUUGGUGCAAAUGGUAUCUUAGACGCUUUAUCGUUCCACACAGCCAAAAAUCCCAGAGAUGCAAAAAAUCCCAAU